UACGUAGGGUGCAAGCGUUGUCCGGAAUUAUUGGGCGUAAAGAGCUCGUAGGCGGUUUGUCGCGUCUGCUGUGAAAACCCGAGACUCAACCUCGGGCCUGCAGUGGGUACGGGCAGACUAGAGUGCGGUAGGGGAGAUUGGAAUUCCUGGUGUAGCGGUGGAAUGCGCAGAUAUCAGGAGGAACACCAAAUGGCGAAGGCAGAUCUCUGGGCCGUAACUGACGCUGAGGAGCGAAAGCAUGGGGAGCGAACAGG
rnacentral:rRNA from 1 species